AAAAGUAAGUGCGGCAAUCGCUCCCAUCGCAAGGUGGGGGAGGAAAGUCCGAACACGUUGGUUGAAUGAAGUCCUCGCGAGUUCAUGCAACCGCAGGUAGCGGGUAAUUCCCGUCAUGAGUAAUCAAGGGAUGCGAACAGAGACGGUUUUUGCGGAGACGCAAAAACCGACCGGUCGAAUGACCGGUCGCAAUUCUAUAGUAAUAUAGAAAGUGAAACGGCUAAAUUCCUACUUGCCAGUGCAAUACCAAAUAGGCCCUUGAAUGGGCGGGUUGGUAGCUUGAUCCCGACGGUAACGUCGGGACCAGAUAGAUGAUUGCCUCCGGUUAGCUUUUAACUGACAGACAGAAUUCGGCUUACAACUUACUUUUAAAA
rnacentral:RNase_P_RNA from 2 species